GUUGACACCGUUUUUGAGCACGUGUCCAGGAUGGCAGGAUAAGGUGGCAGUAUACUAUUCACAAAGAUGAAUUGCCGAUGAGGAUGGUUGCCGAUGAAGGAGAGGUCGGAUGUGACUAAGUCUGUAGGCAGUAAUGUGUUUAUGUCGAUGGCUAUAAUGGGGAAGUCUGCCGAUGACCAUGGCCAGAAAUCUGCCGAUGACCAUGGCAAGGAGUCUGCCGAUGAUAUGGAGGAGGAGUCCGGAAACCACUGAUCGGUUUAAUGGAAGAAUUUUAGUUCGUCACGGAGGAUAGCUUUGUUAUUUCCUUAUUUAUUUAAGUCGUUUUGUAUACGGAUUCCGUGUAAUUUGGAAUUCGAAUUCUAGUCGUGUUUAGUUGUAGCUCUUUGAGCAGGGUAUAA
rnacentral:lncRNA from 1 species